UCGAAUCCUGCUAAGCAGACGACCCGAGAACAUGUUUAUCGCACGGGCAUCGGGGCGAGGGAAACCGCGGACCGAUGCCCCGAGCAUGACGUCGUACCACCGGUCGAUCGUCGUGCAAACAACCAACCCCGGGCGCAGAAACGUGCCAAGGAAAACGUAAAAAGGACUGUCUGCCUCCCGUCGUGCCGUAUGCGGUGUCGCACGGGAGGACCACGGACGUCUAAAGAAAUA
rnacentral:rRNA from 1 species